rnacentral:miRNA from 1 species
CCCAGUUUAAUUUGAAUUUCAGGUAAACGAGGAGAAAUAUUUUAAUAUAAGUAUGCCUCAUGCAAUAUCUGGGACAUACUUAUACUAAAAAAUGACUUGUUUAUCUGAAAUUUAAAUUGAACUG